UGAUAGCUUUGGAGAUUGUGACAUUGAACUAAAGGAAAAACAUACAGGACUCAUGAAGAGCUGAAAUGUUCACAAAUAUCAAGCAAAAGUCAAGGAAAUUUACUUUGAGCUAUUUACAGCAUUUAAUAAUUGAGCAAGGUAUACUCCUAUGAACAAAAUUUGGAGCAUGUUUGUCUCUCUCUCUCUCUCUGCCAGGCGUCUUCAGAAUUUGGAAACUAGUUUCUUUCCCAGAUUUCCUAAACUUUCCAGAGAAAAUGGUCUUCUCCCUGGCUCAGCAAGAAGAUGAACUUUAAACACUGAGAAGGUGGUCAUCUCCCUGGCUCAACCAGAAGAUGAACUUUAAACACUACUCUCAAUGACUUGAUGUUCCCAUCACUACUCAUAAAGGCAGGGGACCCAGAUACCGAGAAUUUUAUGAUAGUGUGAACUGUCUGGUAUGUCAUUUAAGUAAGCCUCUUGCUGAAAUAUUCUCCAUGUUAUUAGAAAGAGCUGAAGAGAGGGGUUGAGAUGGCUUCUUUAUUUUUUGUCUUUUGGGGAUUAAAGGAAACUGGUUCAACAAGGGCCUACACCAAAGUCUCUUGUUCUAUCAGAGUACAGUUUAGGACUGCUCCUGAGGAAGGAAUUAGCUAGAAAUCUAGAGAGUAAGGGUAACAGAUUUACAGUAGAAUAACAGCCUCAGUAUUUUUGGUUCCUCUCCAGUAAAGAUCACAAAGAAUAUUGCUAAAUCGCUAAAACACCUUUGCAAUAACGUAAGUGCUUACAGCUAUAUACCAGUGUAGCUCAGUUACUAAACUGGAGUAAAAUAAUUUCUCUUGUGUAGAAAAAUUGGUUGGCUGUGGUUUUAUAGCAGAUUUGCAAUUAUUAAUAGUUAUGCCAAUAAUCGUUUAACGGUGCAUAUAUUAAUAUAUAUGGAAAGACAAUGUGUAUAGACAGAUGUGUAAAAUUGAAAAAUAAACAUAUAACAAGAGAGAAACAUCUAUUGAACAGACAAUAUACAUAUACAUCAAACACAACAGCAGUUUUAGUGACCAUAAUAUUUAUUUCUCAUUUUUACAUUGGUUACAUUAGUGACAACUGAAAAUGACAGUUGGCAAUGCAGCUAACAGUUUCAAU